rnacentral:rRNA from 1 species
CGUUCCCGGGGCUUGUACACACCGCCCGUCACACCACGAAAGUGGGCAACACCCGAAGCCGGUGGCCUAACCCUUGUGGAGGGAGCCGUCGAAGGUGGGGGCUCGCGAUUGGGGUG